CGCACGCUUGUUUACACACACCAUUUCAAGGACUACUACCGACUAAAUCUGCAAAACCCGCCUCACCCUGUUAACUCAGGUUGGAGUGCAGUGGAGCAACCAUGGCUCAUUGCAGCUUCCACCUCCCAGGGUGAAGUGGUCCUCCCACCUCAGCUUCCCAAGUAGCUGGGACUACAGAAAGAGAAGACAAAUGGAGAACUUCCUCAAUGAGAUGAAGAAAAAUAACAAAAUGCACACCAAAAAGCAUACGAUAUCCUGUUAUCUCAAUUAUUUAAAAAUACAUUGACACAUUCUUUGUAAAUAUGAGGCUAUUUAAAAAAUGUAACAUGCAAAUUUCUAUGUGUUAACCUUUGUAUAAAACCCAUGAUAAGAUGCUUAUUAUUCAAGAGAAAGUAUUAUGAUUGUAUAACCCAGUAAAUCCAUCUUUUUUUCACUCCAAGCUAUUCUUUGUCCCUAAUGUUGUUUUAUUUUAAUGAGUUGCAUCUCCUUCCAUGACAGUACUCAGCCAACUCCGUCUCUUUACCUACCUUUAAGUCAGGAGUACAAGUGGAAGGGCUCCAGUGAAUUUUCUCAGUAAUAACAACUAAUGGCUAACAUUUCAAAGAAAUUUCAAUAUUGAUUGAAACAUUUUAAAGGCUAUCAAUUAUAGAACACAAGAUGAAAGCCAAUAAAAAUUAUUAAAGCUUUACUAUGUAUUUGCUUAUUAUUGAAAGAGGUUAAUAGAGGGGAAGCAGAGAAUUUUAGCAAGAAAUUCUGACUGCAAACCCAGGAUAAAGCCUAAAAUUGUUCCCACAGCCAAACUUCUGUAUAUCCUAGAGACUAAAUAAUACCACUUUGGGUUUCUGAGAAUUAAAUCUUAGGAAGAAUUUGACAGGACCUUCUGAAGGAACGUUAAAGUAAAUUGACAAAGACAAUUCAAAAUAUCAUAAAAGGGCAUUUUCACACACACACACACACACACGCACACACACACACAUACACAAACCAUCAAAUACAGUUACUUUUUAAAUUAUAUUUAUAUUGCACCCUUAAAUGGAA